UACGUAGGUGGCGAGCGUUAUCCGGAUUUACUGGGUGUAAAGGGCGUGUAGGCGGCUCUGCAAGUCAGAUGUGAAAUUUCCGGGCUUAACCCGGACGGGUCAUCUGAAACUGCAGGACUUGAGUACUGGAGAGGAUAGCGGAAUUCCUAGUGUAGCGGUAAAAUGCGUAGAUAUUAGGAGGAACACCGGUGGCGAAGGCGGCUAUCUGGACAGUAACUGACGCUGAUGCGCGAAAGCGUGGGGAGCAAACAGGAUUAGAUACCCUGGUA
rnacentral:rRNA from 1 species